ACGCUCAUAGUUAAAAAGUUAAAAAAUGUACGAAAAAUCUGGGCAGUUUCGAUGGCCCAUCGUAAUAUUUAAAUGAUAUGCGGACCGGAUAUGAUUUCCGGUACUACAGUGAACUGAGGCAGACGGAUUCAACUGUUCACUUUUAUCAAUGAUUUCCAAUUGUCUGGUUGCAACAUAUGAAUUAAUGUAAAGGUGUAAUCAUCUUCGUUUCAAGUUUCUUCUACGGACAUCAUCUGGCCAUCUUUAAAUGUUUAGAGUUCACAAACUUGUCUUACAGAUAUAGAAAUAAAAACAAGUAACACAGACAAAAUGUUAUAUGUAUAUCCUUACAUAUGUAUAAAACAAAUAUAAAAAUGUAGUAGGCUGCCAUAAACAUUAAAAUAAGGAAUGGGACUAUCACUGUAAGUUUGAAAUGCAUAGUGACGUGGAUUUAAAGAUAGAAAUCUAUAUAUGUUAAAGGCAUAAGAAAACAAUCAUCAAAACGUGCAUGCUAGCUUAUUUUUAUAUUUUAUAUCUACAUCUACCAUGUCUACAGAAGCCGAAAUGA